ensembl:lncRNA novel transcript
CCAGGUGCAGGACCCGGGAGUCUCUGCACUCUGCACCCUCGGGGGCCCAGGGGACCCCCUUGCCCUUGCAGGCUUGUAUCUGCUCCUGCUGCCUAGCCUCUCCCCACUGCCGGCGCCUGCCUGGAUCUCGGAGCAGGGUUGGGGCCGUGCCCCAGCACUGACAGCCCGGCCAGGUGUGUGCACACACGGGGCAGUGCUGAUAUGCCAGUCACCUGCCACCUCGGCCGCCUCCGGACCUUGGGCACCAAAAAGCACUUUUUAAAAAUAUACUUUAAGUUAUGGGAUACAUGUGCAGAACGUGCAGGUUUGUUACAUAGGUAUACACGUGCCAUGGUGGUUUGCUGCACCCAUCAACCCGUCAUCUACAUCAGGACCCCACUGGAAAUCGGACUGUUCAACUCACCUGGCAUCCACUCCCAGAGCCCCUGGAACUCUGGCCCAAGGCUCUCUGACUGACUUCUUCCCAGAUCUUCUCGGCUUAGCAGCUGAAGACUGACGCUGCCCGAUUGCCUCAGAAGCCCCGUAGACCAUCAUGGACGCCGAGCUUUAGCAACAAAGCACCAUCUUGGAAGCAGAGAGCCACCCUCACCAGAACUGAAUGCAGGCACCGUGACCUUGAACUUCCCAGCCUCCAGAACUUGCUGCCAGGACCUGCAGAACUCCAGAUGGAUUCCCCUGGCUGACACUUGAAAGAUUUUUGCUCUAACUUAAUAGAAAUGACAGACUGGCAAAGCCAUAGUUAAAUCAGCUGGAGGAGCCACAAAUCAAAUCAUCUUUACAGAAAGAUGUGAGUGCACAUGGAAAUUUAUGGAGUCUCUCAGCAUUGUAGAAGAGCCUCUGUUUCUUCUCACUGGUUCCUGUCCUCCUCAGCUUGGUAUAUAACUCCUGAGGGCUGAAUACCUGGUUGCUGAAGGAUCCAGUCCCUGCCCUAUAACCGAGGAAGAAUUUCUACUUCCCCUUCCUGUCCAGAAGUGAUAUUCCCAGAUGAAGUGAGAAAUUAUAUGCUCUCUGGGAAAUGGCUAUCUGCAAAGACUUGUGGCAUUCUACUUUCUGGAUAUAUUGCCUUAUGUCUGGCAAACUGUACUGAUUAAAACUUUGAACAGAAGAAGGAAAAACUAAUUUGGAAGGGCUAAUCAAGACUCUCCAUAGUCCAAAAGGGAUGAUUUCUCAGUUGUGCAGAGAACCAAUAAACCUCCAUCCUGAGGACAAAAGUAAUUUUGUGAAACUGCAUGAAGUUUCUCUAGAGAGAGAGACUUCACAAAGCCCAGUGGUCACAGCUGUGCAGUGGAACCGAACUACUUUGAAUCUCUGCCAUCAAAGGAAAGAAUCUCAGGAUUUUCUGCUACAGAAGCAUGAUCGUGUUUAAAUUCUUAAAAUGCUGCAUUAGCAAGAAUUCUCCACAGAAACAGACUCUCUCUCUAGAGUUGAGAGAGAGAGAGAGUUAAUAUAGGAAUUGGCUCAUGGGACAAUGGAGGCCAAGAAGUUCCAGAAUCUGAUGUCUGCAAGCCAGCAAACAAAGCCAAUAAUGUAAUUUAGUCUGAGUUCAAAGGCCCAAGAAUGGAGGUACUGAUGGUAUAAUUCCUGAUCUGAGUCUAAAGGCCCAAGAACCAGGAACACUCAUGUUAACAGAAAAUGAAUAGGCCAGGUGCAGUGGCUCACACCUGUAAUCCCAGCACUUUGGGUGGCUGAGGCCGGCAGAUCCAUCGAGGUCAGGAGUUUGAGACCAGCCUGACCAACAUGGUGAAACCCUGUCUCUACUAAAAAUACAAAAAUUAGCUAGAUAUGGUGGUGUGUGCCUGUAGUCCCAGCUACUUGGGAGGAUGAGCCACAAGAAUGAACCCAAGAGGCAGAGGUUGCAGUGAACUGAGGUUGCGCCACUGCACUCCAGUCUGGGUGACAGAGCAAGAAGAAAAAAAGAAGAGAGAUUAAUGUCUCGGCUCCAUAAGGAAAGAGAAAAUGCAUUCUUCUGA